AGCGAACGCUGGCGGCAGGCCUAACACAUGCAAGUCGAACGAUCCUUCGGGAUAGUGGCGGACGGGUGAGUAACACGUGGGAACGUGCCCUUUGGUUCGGAACAACUCAGGGAAAUUUGAGCUAAUACCGAAUGUGCCCUUCGGGGGAAAGAUUUAUCGCCAUUGGAGCGGCCCGCGUCUGAUUAGCUAGUUGGUGAGGUAAUGGCUCACCAAGGCGACGAUCAGUAGCUGGUCUGAGAGGAUGAUCAGCCACACUGGGACUGAGACACGGCCCAGACUCCUACGGGAGGCAGCAGUGGGGAAUCUUGCGCAAUGGGCGAAAGCCUGACGCAGCCAUGCCGCGUGAAUGAUGAAGGUCUUAGGAUUGUAAAAUUCUUUCACCGGGGACGAUAAUGACGGUACCCGGAGAAGAAGCUCCGGCUAACUUCGUGCCAGCAGCCGCGGUAA
rnacentral:rRNA from 1 species